AUGUUUGUUUCUCUCUGUGAGUUUGUGACUAUUGUGUGUUUGUCAGGCUUCACUCGUCCUAAAGUGAGCGUCCUGCCGCCCUCCAGUGAAGAGAUUUCCACAAAGAAAACAGCAACACUGAUGUGUGUGCUCAACAAGGGUUUCCCCUCAGACUGGAGUGUGAUGUGGAAGGUGGACGGGAGCAGCAGAUCUCAGGACAGCAGUGUUGGGCUCCUGGAGAAGGACGGUCUGUACAGCUGGAGCAGCAGUCUGACUCUCUCUGAGCAGGAGUGGAGCUCAGUGCUCUCAGUGAGCUGUGAGGCCAAACACAAAGAUCCCAGUCAUACAGUCACUGGAGAAUUCAGGAGAGAUGAUGAGUGUUCACACUAG